ensembl:ncRNA M05B5.9 ncRNA
ACGAAAAGCAAACAAAUCGCAAUUUGCAUACAUACACACAAGACUCUUUCCUCCCCAUACCCCUCGGUACGCGACCGCACAGUCAAGCACAACAAUAUAAUUUUAGAAGCAAAGCAGCGGGAGAAGAGGAAGAAGAAGAAGACUCUU